GACGAACGCUGGCGGCGUGCUUAACACAUGCAAGUCGAACGGAAAGGCCCUGCUCUUGGUGGGGGUGCUCGAGUGGCGAACGGGUGUGUAACACGUGGGUGCUCUGCCCUGUACUUCGGGAUCAGCUUGGGACACUGGGUCUUAUACCGGAUAGGAUCCUGGUUCAGUGUGUCAUGGUGGAAAGAUUAUUGUUUUGGUGCAGGCUGAGCUCGCGGCCUCUCAGCUUGUGGGUGGGGUAAUGGCCUACCAAGGCGUCGACGGGUAGCCGGUGUGAGAGGGUGGACGGCCACAUUGGGACUGAGAUACGGCCCAGACUCCGACGGGAGGCAGCAGUGGGGAAGAUUGCACAAGGGGCGCAAGCCUGAUGCAGCGACGCCGCGUGGGCGAUGACGGCCUUCGGGUUGUAAACUCCUUUCGUUAGGGACGAAGCCACGCUUUUUGGGUGUGGUGACGGUACCUUUGUGAAGAAGCACCGGCUAACUACGUG
rnacentral:rRNA from 1 species